rnacentral:lncRNA from 10 species
ACAAGAUGGUGCCAAUAAACUGGAAUGCCAUUUGCAUAAUAAGAUUAGGGUGGGGUGACCAGCCUUCCCCGUGCACCAUGUAGAUACCACAGCUGAUCCAAUAAAUCAAUGAGCCCUAUGUAAAUCAGACACCACCUCCUCAAAUUGGACUAUAAAACUUGGCGCAUUUAUGUCAGCUGGUCCUUUUUUUCUGCUUGGAGGCCCUCUUUUGGGCUUUCUCAACAUGAGGAAGCUUUUUCUCUCUCUUUUCUUCUUUUUCUAUUAAACUUUCCACUCCAAAACCCACCCCUCAUGUGUUCUGUGUCCUGAAUUCCUUCUUGACUGAGACCAAAAGCCAGAGUAAAGACUGCAGACAACAGAGUUGUUUCAUAUUGGGUUCUCUCCUGGGUCCAGAUCAAAACCGAAGAUAGAAACAUCGGAGUGGAAAGCAUUCCUCUGAGUCCAUGAGCAUUAUGGGAAUGGAAGAAAAAAACUGAAAAAAGACUGUGAAGAUUCAUCACAUAUAGAAUUCAGAUUAUUAUCUGAAUUAUCUGAGAGACCUCCAAGAAAAAUAAUAAACUACAUUUUUCUCCAAA